rnacentral:rRNA from 1 species
CACGUAGGGUCCGAGCGUUGUCCGGAAUUACUGGGCGUAAAGCGCGCGCAGGCGGUUAGUCGCAUCGGCGGUGAAAGCCCCCCGCUUAACGGGGGAGGGUCCGUCGAGAUGGACUGACUGGAGGCAGGGAGAGGGCGGUGGAAUUCCGGGUGUAGUGGUGAAAUGCGUAGAGAUCCGGAGGAACACCAAAGGCGAAGGCAGUGUCCUGGGGAGUACCUGACGCUCAGGUGCGAAAGCCAGGGGAGCGAACGGG